rnacentral:rRNA from 1 species
UACAGAGGUCUCAAGCGUUGUCCGGAAUCAUUGGGCGUAAAGCGCGCGUAGGCGGCCCGGUAAGUCCGCUGUGAAAGUCAAAGGCUCAACCUUUGAAUGUCAGCGGAUACUGCCGGGCUAGAGUCCGGAAGAGGCGAGUGGAACUCCUGGUGUAGCGGUGGAAUGCGCAGAUAUCAGGAGGAACACCGGUGGCGAAGGCGGAUCUCUGGGCCUUACCUGACGCUCAGGCGCGAAAGCUAGGGGAGCGAACAGG